rnacentral:rRNA from 1 species
AGAUACCCUGGUAGUCCACGCCGUAAACGAUGUCGACUUGGAGGUUGUUCCCUUGAGGAGUGGCUUCCGGAGCUAACGCGUUAAGUCGACCGCCUGGGGAGUACGGCCGCAAGGUUAAAACUCAAAUGAAUUGACGGGGGCCCGCACAAGCGGUGGAGCAUGUGGUUUAAUUCGAUGCAACGCGAAGAACCUUACCUACUCUUGACAUCCACGGAAUUUGGCAGAGAUGCCUUAGUGCCUUCGGGAACCGUGAGACAGGUGCUGCAUGGCUGUCGUCAGCUCGUGUUGUGAAAUGUUGGGUUAAGUCCCGCAACGAGCGCAACCCUUAUCCUUUGUUGCCAGCGAUUCGGUCGGGAACUCAAAGGAGACUGCCGGUGAUAAACCGGAGGAAGGUGGGGAUGACGUCAAGUCAUCAUGGCCCUUACGAGUAGGGCUACACACGUGCUACAAUGGCGCAUACAAAGAGAAGCGACCUCGCGAGAGCAAGCGGACCUCAUAAAGUGCGUCGUAGUCCGGAUCGGAGUCUGCAACUCGACUCCGUGAAGUCGGAAUCGCUAGUAAUCGUGGAUCAGAAUGCCACGGUGAAUACGUUCCCGGGCCUUGUACACACCGCCCGUCACACCAUGGGAGUGGGUUGCAAAAGAAGUAGGUAGCUUAACCUUCGGGAGGGCGCUUACCACUUUGUGAUUCAUGACUGGGGUGAAGUCGUAACAAGGUAACC